GCCUUGUUUGUACAGUUGGUAGUACGUCAGUCUCAUAAUCUGACGGUUGUGAGUUCCAUCCUCACACAAGGCA